AUGAAACCGCUGUUUACUGUCUUCCUGAAUGACUUUGCCCAGACUCAGCUGGUUACAGCGCUCACGACAGACAUGCUGUGGGAGGUUAGCUCCUCCAAUGACAGCCUAACCACGGGUAGAAUCCCACCAUACAUGAUACCCUUAAGCCUUGUGCUAACUGUGCUGGCUUCCGCCAUCACCACGCCAGCUGACCCACUACAAAUACACCUGGCCUACUCUCUGGGUAGCGCCAUCCUACUGCACGUCAAUCCCGAGCAGAGGGAAGUGGAUGUGCUCCUGAACCAACCCAUCAGUGAGUCAAGCCAAGUCUACAGACUUAAAGACAUUGUCAAUGUCAGGUUUUGGAAAAGCAACACCCACACCAAGACACACAUUCCAGAUGUGGUGGCCUACCACGACAGCGACACACAGCUGUACCUGGCCCCAAACCUGCAAAUGUGUACUUUGACCAAAGACAUUCAUUAUCUCUGCCUUAUCAAACCCUUACUAAGAAACAACGCUGAAGGAAUCUGCGGGUUGCAACCCCUGGUCAGCGACACACACUGCCCUGCCGAAGCCAAGCCUCGUACACAAGUCACAGAGACACAAGCAGAGAUUGUAGGUGACAGAGGGCUCGUCAACACUCCCGUGCAUACAGCUACUCUCACUUACGACCAGCAUGACACAACCAGCCGGGUCAACGUGCCCAACCCGAAUAGGGGGAUUCAAGUACCGAAAGGUGCCACCCUCCACCUUGAUGACCUGGCCUCAUACCAUCUUCCGAGUGAAGAGUACCAGACAGCACUGGAACUCCCAUCCUUCAAGAAUUACAACUUCACCUUAGAUCCAGAACUGGAACUCUGGAUUGAGGAAAGGGGGUCCCGACACAUUGACAUUGCUCCCGUCGACACAGCCCUCCAAGCACUGUUUCGACUGCCCGUUCUGAACCCGUCAUCUGCGGUCCGAGCCUGGACCGCUGCCGACAUUGCACUGUGCAUCUCUACAGGUCUCAGACGGAAUCCCCGGAAAGGGGGUGCCAAGUCCGAGACCACGCCGAACCUCAUCAAGCUGAAUCCUCAGCUCCAGGAACCACCUGCCAUUAUGAUCCACCUGCUACACGACCAUCAUGAUUCACCUGUCAUCUGCCCAUCGUGA
rnacentral:lncRNA from 12 species